AUCCUACGGGGCGCAGCAGUGAGGAAUAUUGGUCAAUGGCCGAGAGGCUGAACCAGCCAAGUCGCGUGAGGGAUGACGGCCCUACGGGUUGUAAACCUCUUUUGUCGGGGAGCAAAGAGAGUCACGUGUGACUCAUUGAGAGUACCCGAAGAAAAAGCAUCGGCUAACUCCGUGCCAGCAGCCGCGGUAAUACGGAGGAUGCGAGCGUUAUCCGGAUUUAUUGGGUUUAAAGGGUGCGCAGGCGGAGGUGCAAGUCAGCGGUCAAAUUGCGGGGCUCAACCCCGGACUGCCGUUGAAACUGCAUC
rnacentral:rRNA from 1 species